rnacentral:rRNA from 1 species
CCUACGGGUGGCUGCAGUGAGGAAUAUUGGUCAAUGGCCGCGAGACUGAACCAGCCAAGUAGCGUGAAGGAAGACGGCCCUACGGGUUGUAAACCUCUUUUAUCAGGGGACAAGGUGCAGGUCGGGAGCUGCUGUGAGAGUACCGGAAGAAAAAGCAUCGGCUAACUCCGUGCCAGCAGCCGCGGUAAUACGGAGGAUGCGAGCGUUAUCCGGAUUUAUUGGGUUUAAAGGGUGCGCAGGCGGCGGCUAAAGUCAGCGGUAAAAUCGCGGGGCUCAACCCCGCUCCGCCGGGGCAACUGUGUUCCUUGAGUGCGCGGAGGGUAGGCGGAAUGCGUGGUGUAGCGGUGAAAUGCAUAGAUAUCACGAAGAACUCCGAUCGCGAAGGCAGCCUACCGGCGCGCAACUGACGCUCAUGCACGAAAGCGUGGGUAUCGAACAGGAUUAGAUACCCUUGUAGUC